rnacentral:rRNA from 1 species
GAGUUUGAUCAUGGCUCACAUUGAACGCUGGCGGCAUGCCUUACACAUGCAAGUCGAACGGCAGCACGGGUGCUUGCACCUGGUGGCGAGUGGCGAACGGGUGAGUAAUACAUCGGAACAUGUCCUGUAGUGGGGGAUAGCCCGGCGAAAGCCGGAUUAAUACCGCAUACGAUCUACGGAUGAAAGCGGGGGACCUUCGGGCCUCGCGCUAUAGGGUUGGCCGAUGGCUGAUUAGCUAGUUGGUGGGGUAAAGGCCUACCAAGGCGACGAUCAGUAGCUGGUCUGAGAGGACGACCAGCCACACUGGGACUGAGACACGGCCCAGACUCCUACGGGAGGCAGCAGUGGGGAAUUUUGGACAAUGGGCGAAAGCCUGAUCCAGCAAUGCCGCGUGUGUGAAGAAGGCCUUCGGGUUGUAAAGCACUUUUGUCCGGAAAGAAAUCCUUGGCUCUAAUACAGUCGGGGGAUGACGGUACCGGAAGAAUAAGCACCGGCUAACUACGUGCCAGCAGCCGCGGUAAUACGUAGGGUGCGAGCGUUAAUCGGAAUUACUGGGCGUAAAGCGUGCGCAGGCGGUUUGCUAAGACCGAUGUGAAAUCCCCGGGCUCAACCUGGGAACUGCAUUGGUGACUGGCAGGCUAGAGUAUGGCAGAGGGGGGUAGAAUUCCACGUGUAGCAGUGAAAUGCGUAGAGAUGUGGAGGAAUACCGAUGGCGAAGGCAGCCCCCUGGGCCAAUACUGACGCUCAUGCACGAAAGCGUGGGGAGCAAACAGGAUUAGAUACCCUGGUAGUCCACGCCCUAAACGAUGUCAACUAGUUGUUGGGGAUUCAUUUCCUUAGUAACGUAGCUAACGCGUGAAGUUGACCGCCUGGGGAGUACGGUCGCAAGAUUAAAACUCAAAGGAAUUGACGGGGACCCGCACAAGCGGUGGAUGAUGUGGAUUAAUUCGAUGCAACGCGAAAAACCUUACCUACCCUUGACAUGGUCGGAAUCCCGCUGAGAGGUGGGAGUGCUCGAAAGAGAACCGGCGCACAGGUGCUGCAUGGCUGUCGUCAGCUCGUGUCGUGAGAUGUUGGGUUAAGUCCCGCAACGAGCGCAACCCUUGUCCUUAGUUGCUACGCAAGAGCACUCUAAGGAGACUGCCGGUGACAAACCGGAGGAAGGUGGGGAUGACGUCAAGUCCUCAUGGCCCUUAUGGGUAGGGCUUCACACGUCAUACAAUGGUCGGAACAGAGGGUUGCCAACCCGCGAGGGGGAGCUAAUCCCAGAAAACCGAUCGUAGUCCGGAUUGCACUCUGCAACUCGAGUGCAUGAAGCUGGAAUCGCUAGUAAUCGCGGAUCAGCAUGCCGCGGUGAAUACGU